AUUGAACGCUGGCGGCAGGCCUAACACAUGCAAGUCGAGCGGAUGAAGGGAGCUUGCUCCUGGAUUCAGCGGCGGACGGGUGAGUAAUGCCUAGGAAUCUGCCUGGUAGUGGGGGAUAACGUCCGGAAACGGGCGCUAAUACCGCAUACGUCCUGAGGGAGAAAGUGGGGGAUCUUCGGACCUCACGCUAUCAGAUGAGCCUAGGUCGGAUUAGCUAGUUGGUGGGGUAAAGGCCUACCAAGGCGACGAUCCGUAACUGGUCUGAGAGGAUGAUCAGUCACACUGGAACUGAGACACGGUCCAGACUCCUACGGGAGGCAGCAGUGGGGAAUACUGGACAAUGGGCGAAAGCCUGAUCCAGCCAUGCCGCGUGUGUGAAGAAGGUCUUCGGAUUGUAAAGCACUUUAAGUUGGGAGGAGGGGCAGUAAGUUAAUACCUUGCUGUUUUGACGUUACCAACAGAAUAAGCACCGGCUAACUUCGUG
rnacentral:rRNA from 1 species